CCUACGGGCGGCAGCAGUGGGGAAUAUUGCACAAUGGGGGAAACCCUGAUGCAGCGACGCCGCGUGAGUGAGGAAGUAUUUCGGUAUGUAAAGCUCUAUCAGCAGGGAAGAAAAUGACGGUACCUGACUAAGAAGCCCCGGCUAACUACGUGCCAGCAGCCGCGGUAAUACGUAGGGGGCAAGCGUUAUCCGGAUUUACUGGGUGUAAAGGGAGCGUAGACGGCUAAUCAAGUCAGAAGUGAAAACCCAGGGCUCAACUUUGGGACUGCUUUUGAAACUGAGUAGCUGGAGUGCAGGAGAGGUAAGCGGAAUUCCUAGUGUAGCGGUGAAAUGCGUAGAUAUUAGGAGGAACACCAGUGGCGAAGGCGGCUUACUGGACUGUAACUGACGUUGAGGCUCGAAAGCGUGGGGAGCAAACAGGAUUAGAUACCCUGGUAGUC
rnacentral:rRNA from 1 species